GGGAUACCACUUGGAAACAGGUGCUAAUACCGGAUAAGAAAGCGGAUCGCAUGAUCAGCUUUUAAAAGGCGGCGUAAGCUGUCGCUAUGGGAUGGCCCCGCGGUGCAUUAGCUAGUUGGUAAGGUAAAGGCUUACCAAGGCGAUGAUGCAUAGCCGAGUUGAGAGACUGAUCGGCCACAUUGGGACUGAGACACGGCCCAAACUCCUACGGGAGGCAGCAGCC
rnacentral:rRNA from 1 species